rnacentral:tmRNA from 1 species
GGGGGCGUAACGGCUUCGACGGGAUGGGAUCGACGAAGUGAGGCGUGCCGGGUUCCGAGCUCCCGUAAAACGAUCGGAAAACCAAAACUGCCAAUCAGCAGUUUGCCUACGCUGCCUAAUUAAAGGCAGCCGCUGAACGGUAGCCAGCCUGCGGGCUGCCGGAAGGCGUCAUCCACAGCAGGCUGGGGCGCAGGCCGCCGCCUGAGGCCGAGGCCCGACAACAACCAGGCUGGAUGCCGCGAGGCCGCGCCGGUCCGGCGCGCGGCGUCGAGAUCAAGGGCCGGAUACGCACGUAGGCUCGCUUCGGAGAACCAUUUCGGACGCGGGUUCGACUCCCGCCGCCUCCACCA